CUGGAAACUGCAACGAAGCGCAAACGCUCACACUUAUCGGUUGUUGGAAGGUUGUCGCCAACUGCUAGGCCUUGGGCCUGCUGAAGCGACCGGCUUGGGUCUGUAGCUCAGUUGGUUAGAGCACCGUCUUGAUAAGGCGGGGGUCGUUGGUUCGAGACCAACCAUACCCACCAUCCCUCCAAUGUCCAAUCGUGUUUGGGGGUGUAACUCACCUGGGAGAGCGGGUGAUUUACCUGCAAAUUGCAUGGGGACCUAGUGCUGUCAACUACGCCUCCUUCCCUUAUCCAACAGAGAAUAAGAGCACGUGGUGGAUUCUUGAGGCUUUCUGUUGUUCUCCUACAAAAUUUGAUCAAUCCAUGGUUCUUCGAUGUUCUUUAGAGUUCGAAUCAGCGUUGCUGGCGGAAAGUACAUAUUCGUAAAGGUUUCAUGUACACCGUGCCGCCAGCGACAUAUUUGAUUGCGUCAAAACGAAUAUCAAACUUCUUGUUUGAAAUUCAGGUCUUCAAGAAAUUGAAGAACGGCAUAACGCGCCAGGUGAAAGACCUGGCAAUUCCUUGACGACUUGG
rnacentral:tRNA from 1 species